rnacentral:rRNA from 1 species
GCUCAGGAUGAACGCUGGCGGCGUGCUUAACACAUGCAAGUCGAACGAAGCACUUUAUUUGAUUUCCUUCGGGACUGAUUAUUUUGUGACUGAGUGGCGGACGGGUGAGUAACGCGUGGGUAACCUGCCUUGUACAGGGGGAUAACAGUUGGAAACGGCUGCUAAUACCGCAUAAGCGCACAGUAUCGCAUGAUGCAGUGUGAAAAACUCCGGUGGUAUAAGAUGGACCCGCGUUGGAUUAGCUAGUUGGUGAGGUAACGGCCCACCAAGGCGACGAUCCAUAGCCGACCUGAGAGGGUGACCGGCCACAUUGGGACUGAGACACGGCCCAAACUCCUACGGGAGGCAGCAGUA